rnacentral:tRNA from 1 species
GCCGGGUUAGCUCAGUCUGGUAGAGCAAAGCUCUUGUAAAGCUUAGGUCGUCGGUUCGAAUCCGACACCCGGCU